CCUGUUUUACAGUAUCGACUAGUAGUGGCGCCCACUGUCUUCGCCCCUCGAACAAAUAAACCCCUUGGCCUGUCGCAUAUUUCCGAGGCAUAGCUAGGAUUAGGAUGGCCGGAGGAGGAGCAAAGGCGGAGCCGGAGGAAGAGCUUUCUAGUCGCAGCAGCAGUGGCGGUGAUUCUGAAAAGUGGGAGACCUCAGAGGAAGGCAGAACCAAUUCCAAAGGCAAGCUGCUGCCUGAUGGUUUUCUCGACCCUCUUCCGCCUCAGAAAUCCUUAAAGCGUCCAAGAUUUUGUGGAAUGGUUGAAGGUGCUUGUAAGCAAGGACAACGUAGAGUUAAACGACGUGAUGCACUGCGAGAGGAUAUUAUGGAUUCGAAAACAUUAGAAGUACACCCUAGUAUUGCCAAUUUACGAGGGUUACAUCGAGCCGCACAUCCAAAUGAGGGUACCAUAUUAGGAGCAGCUAGCCAUCUCCUUAUGGCUAAUGAAUGGCAAGUUCGAUGUCCUCGUUUCAUUGAUGCAUUAGAGCAUGCGGGCAUUGCCUGUAUUAGGCACUUGCAAUUCAUUAGAUUAGACCACCAUCUCAUCACAGCACUAGUUGAGCGUUGGUGUCCUCAGACGAACACAUUCCACCUACCUGUGGGAGAGAUGACAAUUACCUUGCAAGAUGUUCAAAUAAUCUUGGGUGUUAGGACUGAUGGCCCGGCUUUAGUUGGGCCUAUUGCUAUAGGUUUGGGGCAUAGAUGGUUGUCUUGGCCAGAUUGUUGUGACGAGUUAUUGGGUAGUCAUCCUGAGGAAGAUGUGGUCUACCAUCAUCCAAGUGAGCAAAAUCAAACAUCAAAUUUUCGAAUGGGAUCGGCUCAAGCCCGAACAUGCAUACCAUUGAGAUGGCUCAGAUGGACAUUUUAUAGGGAAUCUUAUAUGGACUUGACCAUGAAUGAUUUGCUUAGACAUGUUAGGGCCUAUAUAUUGUAUAUGUUAGGUUGCUUCCUUUUACCUGACACCUCAGGGUCACAUAUGCAUUUACAAUAUUUGCCAUUAUUGGAGGACUUAGGCGAGUUUUCUCAAUACUCAUUAGGAGGUUCGAUAUUAGCCCACCUAUAUAGGGAGUUGAAGGAGGCAACAAAACCCACUCGAGUGUACAUGGCUGGGUGCUUACAUCUCUUACAAGUAUGGGCUUGGGAACGAUUACAUGUUGGACGACCUACUCUGCAUGUGCCUUUUCCGAGAGAUAUUACUGGCAAACCACUAGGCUAUAGGUGGAAUGAGGAGAGAGUACGCGAGGUGCCCAUAGGAAAUGUAAGGAUGUAUAGAGAUGAGAUCGAUGGCCUACAACAAAGCCAAGUAAUUUGGGAACCAUACACACCGGCACUAAUGGUUUGGUUACCAAAAAUAUGCGUAGAUGGUAUGGAGAUUUGGCAGGCCAGAGUUCCACUUAUUAGUUGGAAGCGUGUUGAGUGGCACUUACCAGACCGAGUUAUGCGGCAAUUUGGUGGGAGGCAAUUGAUUGAGCUUGAGCCAAUGGAACGUACUUUUAGGAGAGUUGAUGGUAGGGGUAGGGCUAAUGUUGAUUGGAUGGAAUACCACUAUAAUUACAUUGAGAUGUGGAAUAAAAGAAGAGCAUACAUUAUAGUGGUUACACCUCGUGGGGAUGACCAGGAAGAUCUAUUGAGGUAUAUGCAUUGGUAUAGGUCAUGGGCUUCAUUAUACCUAUUAAAGGCUCCUAUAGCACCACCAAAUACAUAUUACCCCAAGGCUCCGGUUGAACGGAUAAUGAUGGACUAUUAUGUACGGUCGAAGUGCAUUUUACGUCCAUUUUUUGGUGGAAAAUGCAAUGGUGCCAGAGCCAUGCAACUUGCUAUUGAUGAGGUGGCUUCAUUAUGCAACAGAGUUGAGAGUGCAAUUCAUAUAGAUUUUGGUGCAGUUGAGGAUCCCAUCAGGGACAACACUCACAGAGGUACAUCACCAUCAUCAGUUGUUGGUGCAGGAGCAUCAAGAGUUAGAGAUCAGGAGCCAUCAUCUUCUACAAACCAAUGACCAUUAACUUACAUAGAAGUUAGAUCAAUGAUGAUUCAGAAUACAAGGCCAUUAGGAACAAUUCCAUUCCCUCGAUUGUGGCCACCUUUUAAUCUAAACUAGAAUGCUUCAGAAGGUGUCAAUUGCCAUCAUAUUUGCAUGUUCCUUUUACAUCGAUGCCUUACAGUAUGAUUGUGCUGUUCUAGUUGUCACCAGCCACUAUGUCAACAUUGCCAGUCUGCACCCGGCCAAUUUUGGAUGCCACUUAAGUAACAAUAUGGCACUUACUAAUGCUUCCACAUCAGCAAAACCCAAUGUUAAGGUAGAGAACAAUGUCGUGGAGCUUCGGCUACGGGCAAGCCAUUUACGAGGACCAGAAAACUCUCAUUCAUAUCUGGUGCUAUUCUAUAUAGAGGAUGAUGUGUUGGCUGAUAUUUUGAACAUCUGUUAGUUCCUAGAGUCCCAUUAUUGCUGGCUGCCGGAUUUUCUAUGGGCAUCGGUUAAGAUUUUGUUUUGGACGACUUUCUUACUGCUUUUUAAAACAACUUUUUAUGCUAGAAAGCUACUUUAAGAAGCAAUAAGCCUAAGCCUCUUUAGAUUGCUGUUUUUCAGAUAUAUUGAUUUGUCUAUUUAGAAAGCCUUCUGCAAUCUCUGGAAGAUGUUGAUGGUUCUCUUAGUCUGUUUAGAUAGAAUUUCUUUCCUUUUUCAUUUUUCCUUCAUUUUUUUGAAGUAUCAUUUGCUUUGUGGACUACAUCUAUCCUGCUGUUGGUAGACCAAUUAUUCUCAGCUGAACUUUACGUAU